CAAGCUGCGCAUAUCUUGGGAUCUUCACAGCACAGUGGCUGGGAAGGCAGGCAGACCCGUCUAUCAGCUUCUCCCUGAAGACUACCAAAGCAAACCAGAGGACCAGAGAACAGCAGCUGCUCUGGACAAAGAGGGGAGGACACCCACACCCACAUACCAAGUUCUGGUUGACUUCUACAGCAGAAGGAGCAGGAGACACCAGAAGUCUCCUCAGAAGAACAUUGAUCAGCACGCCUGCAUCCUUUCUGUUCUGACACACUUGUUACCUGGAUGACUUCUUUCUCAUCACCCACAUGCCAAGAGUGCCAUGUCUCAUCUGGACCAGGGACUCUGAGGAUCACACCAACAGAGACACAAACGACACUUAAAGAAAGCCACAUCAGCUUUUACAACUUACCCCCCAAUACCAAAUG
ensembl:processed_transcript